AUAGUAGUUUGCGAUGUAUCUAAUAAGAUUGAAUUGGUACAGAGAAUAUUAACAUGACUCCUGCACAAGAAUCACACGCAUAAAUAAAUAAAAAUAUAAAAUAAAA